CCGGCCCCAUUGCCCCAUCCUUCCCCUGCCCCCCUGAUUAUGUGCUGGUAAUGAGAGGUCUAGACAUGCUUGAUCAGGAUUAAGGCCCGGGAAGGCAGGCAGGCAUCGCGAGGUCAAGCAGGGAGAGGCGGCUUUAGCUUGGACACAUACACCCCUGUGGGCCUGGGAUGGGCACCAAAAGGCCCAGCCAGCGGUUUUUGAGGAACGUUUAAGGGUCAUGGAGAGGGAGAGGAAUUAGGAGAUAGAGGGGAUGAACAAAUGUAGCCAUCAUAGAAGUCCUUCUUUCUGCAGGCUCGUUGUGUACUGAUGCUCCACUGGUGCACCAAUAUUAAAACAGACUUGUAGUACUGCAGUGGGAUGGCAUUGUGGAAGGAGAAACUCUUCAUAAAGUGUCUGCACGAGUUCCCUCCCACAGUCUAAAGAAAAACCUGUCCAGGGUGUACCCAGGGUGAUGGAUAAAAUGUGUACAAAAACAGGUGAAUGGAAACGUACCUAAUAAGAAGCAGGACCAGCCAGUGCCUCCAGAAGGUGAAAUGCAAAUGCAUGUGAGUGUGUUUGAGGCACAGGACACCAGCUGUUGACAUAGGUGGCUUUCAGUCCACUGGGAAUUCUCUUCUACUGAAGAGACGUCACAUGGACAGUGUCGAAUUCCCAUCCUCAGAGCUCCCAGAUGGAUCUGAUUUAUGGUCAUUCCUAAACAUCCAGGAGAGUACAGAGAAACUGACACUGGGAGUGUCCAGGCUGUGACAGGAUCCUUAGUUUGCAACUAAUGAACGUGAACGUGCACUGUGUUUUACACCACCCGGCAUGCCGGUGUUUUGGGUCACAGAAUCUGAUGGGUCACAGAUGUUUGAAAUGACACAUAGAUCU